rnacentral:rRNA from 1 species
AUUGAACGCUGGCGGCAGGCCUAACACAUGCAAGUCGAACGGUAACAGGAAGAAGUUUGCUUCUUUGCUGACGCGUGGCGGACGUGUGAGUCAUGUCUGUGACACUGCCUUAUGGAGGGGGAUACCUACUGGAAACGGUAGCUAAUACCGCAUAACUUCGCAAGACCAAAGAGGGGAACCUUCAGGCCUCUUGCCAUCGACUUUGCCCUGAUCGGAUUAGCUAGUAGGUGGGGUAACGGCUUACCUAGGCGACGAUCCCUAGCUGGUCUGAGAGGAUGACCAGCCACACUGGAACUGAGACACGGUCCAGACUCCUACGGGAGGCAGCAGUGGGGAAUAUUGCGCAAUGGGCGAAAGCCUGAUGCAGCAAUGCCGCGUGUAUGAAGAAGGCCUUCGGGUUGUAAAGUACUUUCAGCGGGGAGGAAGGGAGUAAAGUUAAUACCUUUGCUCAUUGACGUUACCCGAAGAAGAAGCACCGGCUAACUACGUG